GAACUGCGAUACGUAAUGCGAAUUGCAGAACUCAGUGAAUCAUCGAAUCUUCGAACGCAAAUUGCGCUCUUGGACUUGUGCCAGGAGCAUACCUAUUUGAGAAUCACAUCUAUCUCUACUAUCUUCGGAUAGUGGGUAAAUGAAUGUCAAUGAUACUUCAUCAUUGUCAUUUGAAAUAAGGACAUAUGCUUCUAAUCGUGCAAUUGACACGUUAAAGUUGUGUAUGCAUCUAACAUUAGGUAAUUCAAAAAACCUGUGUGAUCAUACUCACUUGGUGCAAUUGUUGAUUAGAAGCCUAAUAUGGUACUUCAAAUCUUUUGAAAUUUGAUCUCAAAUUAGGUAAGAGGACCCGCUGAAUUUAA
rnacentral:misc_RNA from 1 species